rnacentral:rRNA from 1 species
ACGGAGGUGGCAAGCGUUGCUCGGAAUCACUGGGCAUAAAGGGCGCGUAGGCGGUUCGACAAGUCAGGUGUGAAAUACCCCGGCUCAACCGAGGAAUGGCGCUUGAUACUAUCGAGCUGGAGUGCAGUAGGGGAGAGUGGAAUUCCCGGUGUAGCGGUGAAAUGCGUAGAUAUCGGGAAGAACGCCGGUGGCGAAAGCGGCUCUCUGGACUGUAACUGACGCUGAGGCGCGAAAGCUAGGGGAGCAAACAG